rnacentral:rRNA from 1 species
UAGGGAAUCUUCGGCAAUGGACGAAAGUCUGACCGAGCAACGCCGCGUGAGUGAAGAAGGUUUUCGGAUCGUAAAACUCUGUUGUUAGAGAAGAACAAGGACGUUAGUAACUGAACGUCCCCUGACGGUAUCUAACCAGAAAGCCACGGCUAACUACGUGCCAGCAGCCGCGGUAAUACGUAGGUGGCAAGCGUUGUCCGGAUUUAUUGGGCGUAAAGCGAGCGCAGGCGGUUUCUUAAGUCUGAUGUGAAAGCCCCCGGCUCAACCGGGGAGGGUCAUUGGAAACUGGGAGUAUUGAGUGCAGAAGAGGGGAGUGGAAUUCCAUGUGUAGGGGUGAAAUGCGUAGAUAUAUGGAGAAACACCAGUGGCGAAGGCGGCGCUCUGGUCUGUAACUGACGCUGAGGCUCGAAAGCGUGGGGAGCAAACAGG